rnacentral:tRNA from 1 species
CCGGCAGGGUGGUUUGCGACCGAACCGGCGGCACGUCCAGAGGGGAUCUGACAUGAUCUCGUUUGUCCUCGACGU